rnacentral:rRNA from 1 species
ACUCCUACGGGAGGCAGCAGUGGGGAAUAUUGCACAAUGGGCGCAAGCCUGAUGCAGCAACGCCGCGUGAGUGAUGAAGGCCUCGGUCGUAAAGCUCUGUCCUCAAGAAGAAUAAAUAGACGGUACUUGAGGAGGAAGGCCCGGCCUAACCUACGUGCCAGCAGCCGCGGUAAUACGUAGGGGGCGAAGCGUUAUCCGGAAUCACUGGCGUAAGGGUGCGUAGGCGGUUUUCUAAGUCAGAAGUGAAAGGCUAUGGCUCAACCAUAGUAAGCUUUUGAAACUGUUAAACUUGAGUGCAGGAGAGGAAAGUGGAAUUCCUAGUGUAGAGGUGAAAUUCGUAGAUAUUAGGAGGAACACCAGUGGCGAAGGCGACUUUCUGGACUGUAACUGACGCUGAGGCACGAAAGCGUGGGGAGCGAACAGGAUUAGAUACCCUGGUAGCACAGAG